rfam:Glossina morsitans morsitans, isolate Yale, WGS project CCAG01000000 data, contig: ctg10008346
UGCCGUAUGGUCUAGUGGUCAGGACGUUCGCCUCUCAGGCGGAAGAGCCGGGUUCGAUUCCUGGUGCGGUAG